rnacentral:rRNA from 1 species
CCCUUAGAUGUUCUGGGCUGCACGCGCGCUACACUGAAGCGUUCAACGAGUAUUCACCUUGCCCGGGAGGGUUGGGUAAUCUUUUGAAAACGCUUCGUGAUGGGGAUAGAUUAUUGCAAUUAUUAAUCUUCAACGAGGAAUUCCUAGUAAGCGCGAGUCAUCAGCUCGUGCUGAUUACGUCCCUGCCCUUUGUACACACCGCCCGUCGCUCCUACCGAUUGAGUGGUCCGGUGAAUAAUUCGGACUGCAGCACUGCUUGGUCUCCAGGCUUUGCAGCGGAAAGUUUAGUGAACCUUAUCACUUAGAGGAAGGAGAANUCGUAACA